UGGUUCAGUGGUAGAAUUCUCGCCUGCCAUGCGAGAGGUCCCGGGUUCAUAUCCCGG
rnacentral:tRNA from 1 species